rnacentral:lncRNA from 13 species
CUACCAACCCUGUCAUCUAUCUAGCUGCUACAAUCCAUGUCAUCUAUCUAGCUGCUACCAACCCUGUCAUCUAUCUAGCUGCUACCAACCCUGUCAUCUAACUAGCUGCUACCAACCCUGUCAUCUAUCUAGCUGCUACCAACCCUGUCAUCUAUCUAGCUGCUACCAACCCUGUCAUCUAUCUAGCUGCUACCAACCCUGUCAUCUAACUAGCUGCUACCAACCCUGUCAUCUAUCUAGCUGCUACCAACCCUGUCAUCUAUCUAGCUGCUACAAUCCAUGUCAUCUAUCUAGCUGCUACCAACCCUGUCAUCUAUCUAGCUGCUACCAACCCUGUCAUCUAACUAGCUGCUACCAACCCUGUCAUCUAUCUAGCUGCUACCAACCCUGUCAUCUAUCUAGCUGCUACCAACCCUGUCAUCUAUCUAGCUGCUACCAACCCUGUCAUCUAACUAGCUGCUACCAACCCUGUCAUCUAUCUAGCUGCUACGACCAUCCUCUGUGUUAUAAUAAGAAUGCCUGACUUCUAGUCUCUCUCUGCAUCUAUAUCUGGACAUUCACUUGGAUCAAUAGGUUGUCCUACACUAGAGGUCAAAAGUGGUCNNNNNNNNNNNNNNNNNNNNNNNNNNNNNNNNNNNNNNNNNNNNNNNNNNNNNNNNNNNNNNNNNNNNNNNNNNNNNNNNNNNNAUAGACAGGGGGCAAAGAGAGAAAGAUGAGAGGAGGAGAUGAGAGGAGAGAAAGAGGGUAGGAGGUCGUGAAGGAGUGAACGUGUUGCGGAGAGAGAGAGAGAGAGAAAUCACAGACAGCAGGAGAUGUGAAAAAGAAAGGGGGGCGAAACGAAAGAGGGUGGAGAAGCUAAAUUAACCGUCUCAUUUUCUGACACAUUGUGAUUAGGGUCUAAAACACGUCAUUCAGACAGCGAACUCCAGCGCCGCGUCGACGACACACACAUCAUGUGAAACUCCAACACGCCGUUUUCCAUCACACUGUGUUUACAAAGUCUUGAGUUAGAUGUUAUUUUAACGAGAAACGUACAGAAAAAUGUUUUUAUUAGAGAGAAGCAGACUGUUUGUGAGUGAGUAACAGACUGUGAGUGAGUAACAGAAUGUGAGUGAGUAAUAGACUGUGAGUGAGUAACAGACUGUGAGUGAGUAACAGACUGUAAGUAACAGACCGUGAGUGAGUAACAGACUGUGAGUGAGUAACAGACUGUGAGUGACAGACCGUGAGUGAGUAACAGACUGUGAGUGAGUAACAGACUGUUUGUUAGUGUGUAACAGAUUCCAUUUGUUUAUAGUACAGAACAUAAUACAUUUCCCACUAUACCCUCUGUCUUGAGGAUAUUCUCAAUUCGAUUGUUAUUUUGACGAGAAACGUACGAAAGCAAGUGGUCACAUUAGAGACGCUUUAGCCGCAGCACAAAUCAAAUCGAAUCAAAUGUAUUAAUUUAAAUCUACUACCGUACUACAGUACUGCAUUGAUCGCGUGAACUUGUCUUGUUAUUGUUAUCAGUAAUAAACUGCGGUCAGAUAAGUAUCUCCUAUAGAAUAAUAUGUUCCCUCUCAGAGUAUCCGUUUCAUAUAAACAAAUGACUUUGACCGUUUGCCGUUGUAAUAGUCGUUUGCCGUUGUAAUAGUUGUAAUAGAUUGUAGUAUUUCUAGAAUAGUACCAUUUCCGUCUCUGUGUGUCCUGUGUGGUUUCUGAAUGGGCCAUGCAGGCUAGAACUAUUAGCGAGAAGAUGGACUUCAACAUUCACUGUGUGAAAAUGUGUUGGUAGAUAGAUGGUCAUUAAUAGACCCCAUUGUCUCUGAGUAUGUCCUUUAGGUCAUUAAUAGACCCCAUUGUCUCUGAGUAUGUCCUUUAGGUCAUUUUCCAUGNNNNNNNNNNCUCCUAUAGAAUAAUAUGUUCCCUCUCAGAGUAUCCGUUUCAUAUAAACAAAUGACUUUGACCGUUUGCCGUUGUAAUAGUCGUUUGCCGUUGUAAUAGUUGUAAUAGAUUGUAGUAUUUCUAGAAUAGUACCAUUUCCGUCUCUGUGUGUCCUGUGUGGUUUCUGAAUGGGCCAUGCAGGCUAGAACUAUUAGCGAGAAGAUGGACUUCAACAUUCACUGUGUGAAAAUGUGUUGGUAGAUAGAUGGUCAUUAAUAGACCCCAUUGUCUCUGAGUAUGUCCUUUAGGUCAUUAAUA